UGAAAUGCAAGUGCUUCGGCCCCUGGU
rnacentral:piRNA from 1 species